rnacentral:tRNA from 1 species
GGCCCUGUGGCGGAGUGCUACGCGCGGGAUUGCAACUCCCGACACCCUUGGUUCAAAUCCAAGGCAGGGCCUCCA